rnacentral:lncRNA from 1 species
GCACGACGCGGGCAAAGGCGGGGUGCCCGUGGGUGCCCGCGGAGAAAGUGGCAUCCGGGCCUGGGCUGGGCAGGGCUGCCCCGCCCCAACUCCGGGUGAAGAUAGGGGAGGGGACACGGGCCUGGGCUUGGGGACCCUUGCAGUUGGACCACGGCUCCGCUUCCCGCCUGACUGGCCUGCCCGGGGGCAUCCGGUCUUGGGAUGUCGAUCCUGGCGUCUGCAACCUUGAUGAACAGCUCAAGGUCUUUGUGUCCCGACACUCUGCCACCUUCUCCAGCAUUGUGAAAGGCCAGCGGAGCCUGCACCACCGUGGAGACAACCUGGAGACCCUGGUCCUCCUGAACCCAUCAGACAAGUCCCUGUAUGAUGAGCUCCGGAACCUUCUGUUGGACCCUGCCUCUCACAAGCUACUGGUGUUGGCUGGGCCCUGCCUGGAGGAGACGGGGGAGCUGCUGCUACAGACAGGGGGCUUCUCGCCUCACCACUUCCUCCAGGUCCUGAAGGACAGAGAGAUCCGGGACAUCCUGGCCACCACGCCC